CCGCCGCGCGGCGGGCGGGGCGGGGGCACGGGGGGAGGAAAGUAGGGGAUCGCAAGACCUUGCGCUAAAGGAGCGGCCGAUGUCUGAUUAGCUAGUUGGUGGGGUAAAGGCUUACCAAGGCAACGAUCAGUAGUUGGUCUGAGAGGACGGCCAACCACACUGGGACUGAGACACGGCCCAGACUCCUACGGGAGGCAGCAGUGGGGAAUUUUGGACAAUGGGCGAAAGCCUGAUCCAGCCAUGCCGCGUGAGUGAAGAAGGCCUUCGGGUUGUAAAGCUCUUUUAGUCGGAAAGAAAGAGUUGCAAUGAAUAAUUGUGAUUUAUGACGGUACCGACAGAAAAAGCACCGGCUAACUACGUGCCAGCAGCCGCGGUAAUACGUAGGGUGCGAGCGUUAAUCGGAAUUACUGGGCGUAAAGG
rnacentral:rRNA from 1 species